UAUGUGAUCGUCUCUCGCAUAUCAAUAAGCGGAGGAAAAGAAACUAACAAGGAUUCCCCUAGUAACGGCGAGUGAAGCGGGAAGAGCUCAAAUUUGAAAUCUUAAAGGGUUUCCCUUUACGAAUUGUAGUUUAAAGAAGUGUUUUCUGUUGAGGUUUUGGUAAAAGUUCUUUGGAAUAGGACAUCAUAGAGGGUGAGAAUCCCGUAUUUGACCUUUACUUUCAACUUUGUGAUACACUUUCAAAGAGUCGGAUUGUUUGGGAAUGCAGUCCAAAAUGGGUGGUAAAUUUCAUCUAAAGCUAAAUAUUGGCGAGAGACCGAUAGCGAACAAGUACCGUGAGGGAAAGAUGAAAAGAAGCUUUGAAAAGAGAGUUAAACAGUACGUGAAAUUGUCAAAAGGGAAGCGUUUGACACCAGUGUUGUUUUUCUGAAAGAUCAAUUAAAGAACUGUUUAUGCUAAGUUGUUUAGACUUUAUCAGCUAACUGUUUAGUUUUGAGCUUUUCUUUAAUGCACUUUUCAGUUAACAAGUCAACAUCAAUUUCUUUUGCUGUAAAAAAGCUUGAGGAAGGUGGCUUGAGAUUCGUCUUAAGUGUUUAUAGCCUCUUGCCUAUGCAGUCGGAGAGAUUGAGGUCUGCAGCGUAGAUCCUUCGGGGCUAAAUGCAUUUGUGCUAAGUUAUAGCAUUUUAUAGACAACUUGUUGACUAUGAUUUGUCUUGUAGCUUACUCGCUUAUGUUAUUUUACCUACGCUUAGGAUGUUGACACACGCGCGUGCUCG
rnacentral:rRNA from 1 species